UGCAAUAGAGAAUCGUAAAGGAUGAGAACCGUAAAGGUUCGAGUCUCGCGAAGCGAGACAACAUCACUCCGGUGAUGGCCCGCAAGGGCGAGGCCAAAGGCCAAAGGCCGAGUUAUCCUGCACGACCCACCA
rnacentral:sRNA from 1 species